GUGAUGUAUAGGGGCUGACGCCUGCCCGGUGCUGGAAGGUUAAGAGGAGUGGUUAGCUUCUGCGAAGCUACGAAUCGAAGCCCCAGUAAACGGCGGCCGUAACUAUAACGGUCCUAAGGUAGCGAAAUUCCUUGUCGGGUAAGUUCCGACCCGCACGAAAGGCGUAACGAUUUGGGCACUGUCUCAACGAGAGACUCGGUGAAAUCAUAGUACCUGUGAAGAUGCAGGUUACCCGCGACAGGACGGAAAGACCCCGUGGAGCUUUACUGUAGCCUGAUAUUGAAAUUCGGCACAGCUUGUACAGGAUAGGUAGGAGCCUUUGAAACGUGA
rnacentral:rRNA from 1 species